AGGACGAACGCUGGCGGUGUGCUUAACACAUGCAAGUGGAGCGACGAACCAGGGCUUGCCCUGGGGCAGAGCCGCGAACGGGUGAGUAACACGUGGGUAACCUACCCCGAUGACCGGGACAACCCGAGGAAACUCGGGCUAAUACCGGAUGUGUUCCAUAUUCAUGAGGAAAUGGAACAAAGGAAGCUUCGGCCUCCGCAUUGGGAGGGGCCCGCGGCCCAUUAGCUAGUUGGUGGGGUAACGGCCUACCAAGGCAGCGAUGGGUAGCUGGUCUGAGAGGACGAUCAGCCACACUGGGACUGAGACACGGCCCAGACUCCUACGGGAGGCAGCAGUGGGGAAUCUUGCGCAAUGCGCGAAAGCGUGACGCAGCAACACCGCGUGAGGGAAGACGGCCUUCGGGUUGUAAACCGUCUUUCAGGAGGACGAAGGGUGACCGGUGAAGUAGCCGUGUUGCUUGACGGUACCUCCAGAAGAAGCUCCGGCUAACUACGUGACCAGCAGCCGCGUAA
rnacentral:rRNA from 1 species